UUAACAAUAACGGUUUACUAUUCUCAGGAAUUAGUCAUUCAAAAGACGGUGAGGAAAAGAAUGGUCGACAAACCUUGUGUGGUGCCUUAACAGUCCAUCAGACUAAGGGAUAGAUAAAGGUAGAUCUUGAUUACACUGCCUGGUUUUGUGGUUUGCACGAGACGGUUGACACAAUGAUCUGAAGUUCAAACUGCCAUUUUCUACUGUCCGCUGCAAGAUCUUGGCUGGAAUGUAAAAGGAAUGUCCAAAAUAUUUAAAUGACAAACAGGAUGGGAACUGAUAAUGAGGAAUAUGCUGAAACAGACAUCUGGCAUAUUCCUAUAAUCAGUAUCAUGGCCUUUGUAUACAACAAAAUUGAUUGGAACUCCUAGACUAGAAAUAUAAUUCAAGAUUUAAAUAAGGCACUGGUCAUAGUUUUAGAAAGAGUGGCUAGCAUUCUGCAUACUAGCCAAGAUUGAUACCUCUCCACAAAUUAACAAAGACAUCAAUGAAGCUUUGCUAAAGCUAGUGACAAUUUACAUGUUUUCUUAUGUGGCUUAAUUAUAAUAAUGUCAAGAAAGCUAAUUAAAUAAGAACUAUACAUUU